GGGCCCAUAGCUCAGUUUGGCAGAGCCACCGGCUCAUAACCGGUAGGUCCCUGGUUCGAUUCCAGGUGGGCCCA
rnacentral:tRNA from 1 species